GGAGGGGCAGAGCGGAGCUGUGGGCUGGGGGCUGGAGGACAGGUUUGUUCGCUGGACGCAAGCACCAGGCGCAGCCUCGCUCGCCGAGACCCGGCCAGAGACGGGGUUUCACCAUGUUGGCCAGGCUGGUCUCGAACUCCUGACCUCAGGUGAUCCACCUGCCUUGGCCUCCCAAAGUGCUGAGAUUACAGGUGUGAGCCACCGUGCCUGGACGACCCAUGUUCUAAGAGUCGAAUCUGUCUGUGUUGUGUUUACCUUUCUUUGCUCUCCCAAGAACGUGUUACGAGUCAGUUUUUAGUGAAAAAACAUUGAGCUAGGAGCCAAGACCCAUCUCUUCACUAUUUUGGUAUUGUGCA
rnacentral:sRNA from 1 species